AACCUUAUGGACCUGCGGGCGUAUACCUGCGGAGGGAUCAUUACUGUGCCUUCGGGGGCAAGCUUUCCCUCUGGACAGCUGGAACGGCGCCUUGGUGGCCCGUUCGGGCUGGCGGCGGCGGGUUGGGGAGCCCAGUGGGCUCCCGAGCCGGCACGUCGAUCGAGCUUGCCCUGUCUGAACACCUCCCUUGCUUUUUGCGUACCCUUUGUUUCCUCGGCAGGCUGGCCUGUCCGCAGGACC
rnacentral:misc_RNA from 1 species